UACGUAGGGGGCAAGCGUUGUCCGGAAUUAUUGGGCGUAAAGAGCUCGUAGGCGGCCUGUUGCGUCCGCUGUGAAAGCCCGGGGCUUAACCCCGGGUCUGCAGUGGAUACGGGCAGGCUAGAGGUAGGCAGGGGAGAAUGGAAUUCCCGGUGUAGCGGUGAAAUGCGCAGAUAUCGGGAGGAACACCGGUGGCGAAGGCGGUUCUCUGGGCCUUACCUGACGCUGAGGAGCGAAAGCUAGGGGAGCAAACAGG
rnacentral:rRNA from 1 species